rnacentral:rRNA from 1 species
GGGUUCUGAGAGGAUGAUCCCCCACACUGGUACUGAGACACGGACCAGACUCCUACGGGAGGCAGCAGUAGGGAAUAUUGGUCAAUGGGCGAGAGCCUGAACCAGCCAUGCCGCGUGCAGGAAGACGGCCUUCUGGGUUGUAAACUGCUUUUCUACGGGAAGAAAAAGCUUAUGCGUAAGCAAUUGACGGUACUGUAGGAAUAAGCACCGGCUAACUCCGUGCCAGCAGCCGCGGUAAUACGGAGGGUGCGAGCGUUGUCCGGAUUUAUUGGGUUUAAAGGGUGCGUAGGCGGCUUAUUAAGUCAGUGGUGAAAUCUUUCGGCUUAACCGAGAAACUGCCAUUGAAACUGAUGAGCUUGAGUUUGAGUGAGGUAGGCGGAAUUUAUGGUGUAGCGGUGAAAUGCAUAGAUACCAUAAAGAACACCGAUAGCGUAGGCAGCUUACUGGCUCGCAACUGACGCUGAGGCACGAAAGCAUGGGUAUCGAACAGGAUUA